rnacentral:rRNA from 1 species
AAUGAACGCUGGCGGCAUGCCUUACACAUGCAAGUCGAACGGCAGCAUGACCUAGCUUGCUAGGUUGAUGGCGAGUGGCGAACGGGUGAGUAAUGCAUCGGAACGUGCCUUUUAGUGGGGGAUAACGUAGCGAAAGUUACGCUAAUACCGCAUAUUCUCUGAGGAGGAAAGCAGGGGACCUUCGGGCCUUGCGCUAGAAGAGCGGCCGAUGUCGGAUUAGCUAGUUGGUGAGGUAAAGGCUCACCAAGGCAACGAUCCGUAGCGGGUCUGAGAGGAUGAUCCGCCACACUGGGACUGAGACACGGCCCAGACUCCUACGGGAGGCAGCAGUGGGGAAUUUUGGACAAUGGGCGCAGGCCUGAUCCAGCCAUGCCGCGUGAGUGAAGAAGGCCUUCGGGUUGUAAAGCUCUUUCGGCUGGGAAGAAAUCGCACCCUCUAAUACAGGGUGUGGAUGACGGUACCAGCAUAAGAAGCACCGGCUAACUACGUG